UACGUAGGGGGCUAGCGUUGUCCGGAAUCAUUGGGCGUAAAGAGCGUGUAGGCGGUCCGGUAAGUCCGCUGUGAAAGUCGGGGGCUCAACCCUCGAAUGCCGGUGGAUACUGUCGGGCUAGAGUGCGGAAGAGGCGAGUGGAAUUCCUGGUGUAGCGGUGAAAUGCGCAGAUAUCAGGAGGAACACCUGCGGCGAAGGCGGGUUGCUGGGCCGACACUGACGCUGAGGCGCGAAAGCCAGGGGAGCGAACGGG
rnacentral:rRNA from 1 species